CUUUUAAACUGUUUACACUGGUAACCAGUGACAUGGAAAAGGCUGAGAGUUUGAUAAAGUCACGAAAAAGCAACGACGUUUCAUACAUUGUGUUUGAAAAUAGAUCCUCAACUGUGGCCAGUGUGUUUUGGCACGAUUUUGAUGGGAGAAAGGUAAAAUUCUGUCAACUUCAGAAUAAAGGAACGUAUAGCCAAUAUAAAGUCAAAACAUUUGUCGGACAUCCAUGGUCGGUUGAAGAUUCUGACACUGGAGUAAGCUUGCGAAUCGACAAUCGGCCUGUGUUCUAUCCGUAUUCAAAUCCAAAUAAGCAUGCAAAGGUUUACAUAGAUGACAUAACUAAAAACAGAGAUCCGGGAACCAAUAGCGGUUUGCAGUCAUUUGUAGACGCAAAAGCAUGUCCAAUAUGGGUUCGGAAGAAACUAGCGAAAUGAAGAGAUCACAAUGUAAUGGAUAUGUGAACUUUGACCUUUGAGCGUCCGGAAUUAUUUUAAACAAUUUCACAAUGACAGCCAUCUGAUCAUGCAGCAUAUUUGUUAUUCACGUGCAAGUUUCUCGCGUGACAGGAUAUAUGAAUCAUUUUUCUUGCAUUUUUUAUUGUUUAUAUUUUCUAAUAGUGCCAUAUAAUUAUAUAUACAAUAUUAGGCCAAUGUGAAAAACAAUCUACUUGACUUAAAUGUGUACGAAGCUAAGAAACUAUGGAAGGAAGAGGAUUAAAUAAAAAUGAUUUUUUCUACAUUGACCUCUUAUUAUUUUUAUACUGCUGCAGCUAAAAUUGUUACAUUUAUGAAAAUGAAUGUUAACAAGAAUAUCACUAAUUUUCCAUCCAUUAACCAACACCAGAUUGUGAAGGAACGUGACGGAACAUGAAAU